AAAUAUGAAUUUCGAAACGAAGACAGGAUGUCAACAAAGAGAGCCAAGAAAAUUGUUUGUUACGCGAUAUAUACUCACUUGGAGCUAAAAGAAAAGCCACAAAGGACAAAUUCAAUAUGCAGGUUUACAAUUUGGAAGUGGCGCAGGUUCUUUGGAAUGUCUACAACCUUUCAGGAGAAUUUUUUUUUUGAAAAGCAUGGCACAGCAAGAAAAAGAUAUAAGACACUACAAGACAUUCCAAGUGAUUUUGAAUAAGACAAUUGAUUGACUUUUUCAAUGUAUUCUUAAAUAAAUGAAAUAGUUGAUGUAAAAUGGUGUUUUGUUCUCAUCUCUUCAGCCAAUUAUCAAUGAUUAUUGACUUAAGAUUUAACCCUAUUAGAAGUGUAGCGUUUUAGUUUAGAAAGAGAAGUUGUAUUGAAAAAUCUGAAUUUGGGACACAAGUUUUAGUCAAUGUAACUUGAACUUAAAAAUGUGGAUAAUGUUUGCAUAAUGUCCAAUGGCAUAUAUGUCAUGCAUGUUCAGGUUGACAUAUGCAUGAUGUGUAUAAGAUAGGUAAUAAAAGUUGAGAGUGAAAAACUAAAAAUUAUACCAUUGUGGUUAGAAUGUGGGCUUUCUUGCACUGUCUGUCGUCUGUCCACCUAUAUUUGUCGGAUUUUGUCCAACAAAUAUUUUCAUCACUGUUUUUCCCAAAACUGCUGAUCAAGAUGAGGUCAUAUUUAAUGUUGAAUGUUCUCAAAUUUUUCAUUAC